rnacentral:rRNA from 1 species
UUUAUGGAGAGUUUGAUCCUGGCUCAGGAUGAACGCUGGCGGCGUGCCUAAUACAUGCAAGUCGAGCGAACGGACGAGAAGCUUGCUUCUCUGAUGUUAGCGGCGGACGGGUGAGUAACACGUGGAUAACCUACCUAUAAGACUGGGAUAACUUCGGGAAACCGGAGCUAAUACCGGAUAAUAUUUUGAACCGCAUGGUUCAAAAGUGAAAGACGGUCUUGCUGUCACUUAUAGAUGGAUCCGCGCUGCAUUAGCUAGUUGGUAAGGUAACGGCUUACCAAGGCAACGAUGCAUAGCCGACCUGAGAGGGUGAUCGGCCACACUGGAACUGAGACACGGUCCAGACUCCUACGGGAGGCAGCAGUAGGGAAUCUUCCGCAAUGGGCGAAAGCCUGACGGAGCAACGCCGCGUGAGUGAUGAAGGUCUUCGGAUCGUAAAACUCUGUUAUAGGGGGAAGAACAUAUGUGUAAGUAACUGUGCACAUCUUGACGGUACCUAAUCAGAAAGCCACGGCUAACUACGUGCCAGCAGCCGCGGUAAUACGUAGGUGGCAAGCGUUAUCCGGAAUUAUUGGGCGUAAAGCGCGCGUAGGCGGUUUUUUAAGUCUGAUGUGAAAGCCCACGGCUCAACCGUGGAGGGUCAUUGGAAACUGGAAAACUUGAGUGCAGAAGAGGAAAGUGGAAUUCCAUGUGUAGCGGUGAAAUGCGCAGAGAUAUGGAGGAACACCAGUGGCGAAGGCGACUUUCUGGUCUGUAACUGACGCUGAUGUGCGAAAGCGUGGGGAUCAAACAGGAUUAGAUACCCUGGUAGUCCACGCCGUAAACGAUGAGUGCUAAGUGUUAGGGGGUUUCCGCCCCUUAGUGCUGCAGCUAACGCAUUAAGCACUCCGCCUGGGGAGUACGACCGCAAGGUUGAAACUCAAAGGAAUUGACGGGGACCCGCACAAGCGGUGGAGCAUGUGGUUUAAUUCGAAGCAACGCGAAGAACCUUACCAAAUCUUGACAUCCUUUGACAACUCUAGAGAUAGAGCCUUCCCCUUCGGGGGACAAAGUGACAGGUGGUGCAUGGUUGUCGUCAGCUCGUGUCGUGAGAUGUUGGGUUAAGUCCCGCAACGAGCGCAACCCUUAAGCUUAGUUGCCAUCAUUAAGUUGGGCACUCUAAGUUGACUGCCGGUGACAAACCGGAGGAAGGUGGGGAUGACGUCAAAUCAUCAUGCCCCUUAUGAUUUGGGCUACACACGUGCUACAAUGGACAAUACAAAGGGCAGCGAAACCGCGAGGUCAAGCAAAUCCCAUAAAGUUGUUCUCAGUUCGGAUUGUAGUCUGCAACUCGACUACAUGAAGCUGGAAUCGCUAGUAAUCGUAGAUCAGCAUGCUACGGUGAAUACGUUCCCGGGUCUUGUACACACCGCCCGUCACACCACGAGAGUUUGUAACACCCGAAGCCGGUGGAGUAACCUUUUAGGAGCUAGCCGUCGAAGGUGGGACAAAUGAUUGGGGUGAAGUCGUAACAAGGUAGCCGUAUCGGAAGGUGCGGCUGGAUCACCUCCUUUCU